UACGUAGGGGGCGAGCGUUGUCCGGAUUCAUUGGGCGUAAAGGGCCCGUAGGCGGCUUGGCAAGUCGGGUGUGAAAACUCCAGGCUCAACCUGGAGACGCCACCCGAUACUGCCAUGGCUUGAGUCCGGUAGGGGACCACGGAAUUCCUGGUGUAGCGGUGAAAUGCGCAGAUAUCAGGAGGAACACCGGUGGCGAAGGCGGUGGUCUGGGCCGGCACUGACGCUGAGGAGCGAAAGCGUGGGGAGCGAACAGG
rnacentral:rRNA from 1 species